CAAAUAUAUUGCUUUCCUUGUGUUUAAAUGCCGUGUACUGCAAGAUCAAAUGCACUGUGUCCAACAUUUUAUCUAAAAUGAAAAGAAAAACAUUUGCUCAUUUUUCUUCAUGGUUUGUCCAAUCAGAUGCAUCUGAAAAAAGAGAAUUAGAUUGGGGAAGACGUUUUCGAAUUAUAGAAGGCAUUGCUCAAGGAGUACUUUAUAUCCACAAGUACUCUAGAUUGAAAAUCAUCCACAGGGACCUAAAAGCAAGUAACAUACUGUUGGAUAGAGCCUUGAAUCCCAAAAUUUCAGACUUUGGAAUGGCAAGGAUUUUCGGGAUAAACCAGACUGAAGCAAAUACCAAUAGGGUUGUUGGCACAUAGUAAGUCUACAUAUACCUGGCACAUGUUUUCAUUCAAGUAAUGUUCUAUUGCUUACUUCUAUACAUACUGUCAAUUCAUGUGCAGCGGUUACAUGUCACCUGAAUAUGCAAGAUAUGGUCAUUUCUCUGAGAAAUUAGAUGUAUUCAGCUUCGGAGUGUUAUUGUUGGAGAUUGUAAGCGGAAAGAAAAAUGCUGCUUUUUAUCGCUUUGAACAUUCACCAACUCUUGCUGGAUGGGUAAGUACUUAAAAAUUAUUCUUGCUCACAAUCAUUCUGUCUUUAAGCCUUCCAAAUUCGCAAAUGACCGUAAAUUCAACAUUUUAAUUAGGCAUGGGAGUUGUGGAAAGAAGGAAGAGGAAUGGAGGUGAUCGAUGAAUCGGUAAGGGAAACGUGCCACCUCGAUGAAGCUUUGAAGUGUAUCCAUGUAGGGUUUUUGUGUGUUCAAGAAGCUCCAGCUGAUCGACCAACAAUGUCUUCGGUAAUUCAUAUGUUGCAGGGCAAUGAAUCUACGUCUCUUCCACCUUCCAAAGAACCUACCUUUUCAACACACAGACAUUCCAAUCCUGUUCGCUCUUCUGAAAUGCCUACCAUUUUUUCUCACAACUCAGUCACCAUGAGUUUGCCAGAAGGUCGGUAGGGGUUGAAAGAACAGUGGCUAGCAAGCAGUUGAGAAAAUAGUGUAUUAAAUUAGAAAAAAAGACAUUGCGACAAAUAUGUUUAUACGAACACUUCAAGGGUUCAAUUGGAGAAAUAAAAGUCCCCUCAGCUGUGAGGUUGAGUCUCUUAGAAAGCAUACACCGAAAGAGAAAUGAAUUACUGGUGUUUGUGUUUAAUGGUUUAUGCCCAUCUAGACUAAACCUAUAAUAGCACCAGAUUAAACUUAUGUUAAAGUGUUUUUCAGCUGCAAAUAUGGGCAUAGCCAUAUUUCAAGUUAUGUUCCCACCCCACCCCUUGGUGCAAACCAAUUUAUAUUAAUAUAAAAUAGAAUGUUGUUUGUAUGAAAAGAAAAAAGAGGAGAUUUUUUUACAUUUUUCAACUUUCAAAAGACAAAAAAUAAGAACAAAAUUAGUAUAGAACAAAGGAUUUUACAUUAGUAUAUCCAUAAUUGAAGGAUUUAAGCCCUUUCCAUACAUUGAUUUUUUCUACAAAGACUUGGUCCAUAUGGCAGCUAAUAAACAAUCUGUGAAGGUUGAAUAGUUGACUUAGUUGACUUGCAAGCAGGCGAGAAUAUCUAUCUAUAUAUGGUUAAGCGAGAGUCUCACGGAUGGCGACAAAAUUUUGGAGUCACCCCAUUCAAAACCUGUCCAAAAUAAUAUAUCAAAUCAUGCAAUGAUAAUUUGGUAAUUUAGUCAUAAUAAAAUAUAAAGUAAUGGGUUGUUGGACAAAAAAAUAAGAUUAAAAAAAUGUAAGGAGUUCCAUCCCUCUCCCCCCCCCCCGGCGCGUCUCAUCUCUCAUCCCUCAUUAGAGGUGGGCACUUAGAACCAAAAACCAAACUAAAACACGAACCAAAUCGAACCGCACCGAACGGUUUGGGUUUGCGGUUUUUGAACGGUUUCGGUUUUGAAACCGAACCGCAACAUAGAAAACAGUUUGGUUUCGGUUUUGACUUUUGAAAACUGCACCGAAACCGAACCGCACCACAAAUAUUAAUAAACAUUUAAUUAAAUGUCCAUAUUAAAUUUCAUGUUUUAAUUGGUUGUUUAUUAAAAUCCAUGCACUUAGUACGGACUCAACCACACUAGAAUAUCAUUAUUCAUCACUUUCUUUCGUUCAUUAACUUGAAGGACCUUUGUUAUUUUAUACCAUCACACACACACACACACACACACACACAUAUAUGUACAAGGGUGGACUAAUCUUGUUAUCAAGAGUCGAACAAUGAUCUAAUGAAGUCCACUCAUUUGAAGCAUGAUAUCACAUAUUCUAGUAUAAAAGUUUCGCUCACGUUUAAUGAAUUCAAAGUUAUUCAAUUUGUAUUAUGUUAUACCUUGUACGGGACAUCCUUUUGUUGCACAAACAUGUUUUAACAUCACAACUGCAUGCAACAUGCUAAUUGUUUAUAUAACAAAUGUCUUUUUCCUAUUGCUACUGGGAAAUGCUUAUUAAUAUGUUAAAUUGCAAAUUGUACAUUUUUUUCUUAAAAACCAAACCAAAACAGUUUGAAACCGCACCGCACCGCACCGAACUAAACGAUUUGGUUUCAUUUCGAUUUUGGCUUCAAAACCGCACCGAACCAAACCACAAAAAAUUUCGAUUUCGGUUUCGGUUUCACUCAAAACCACACCGAACUAAACCGUGUCCACCCAUAUCCCUCACGUCUCUCUCUCUCCUCAUUUUCAUUGUUUUCCUCUUGCCCUUCUUUCUCUCUAUAAAAAAAAGUUUUCGCAUGUUGAUAAUAAUGUGAUUAAAUUAAUUGUCAAAUGAUUAAUUUUUUUUUUUAACAAACAACAUUAUCUAUACUAAGGAGGAGGGGGUAAACUUAACCUCACAAUGGGCUAGCAAUAAUGUGAUUCAAUUAGUUGUUCAUUCAAUAUUAUUUUCUCUAUUUUUAAACACGUUCAAAACAUCUUAAGAGGCGUGUAAUGCCGGUUAUAAAAAAGAUUUUUCGCAUGCGGAUAAUAAUGUGAUUAAAUUAGUUGUCAAAUAAUUUUGUUUUUAACAAACGAUAUUAUGUAAGAGAGAGGGGGUGGGCUUUAGCUUCACAAUAGACUAGCAAUAAUGUGAUUUAAUCAAUUGUUCAUUAAAUAUUAUUUUCUCUAUUCUUAUUGUAAAUUCUAUAGAGACCGAUUUUAUUAUGUGAAUUCAACUACUUUAAUUGAUUUAUGAGAGAUUUCUUCUAGCAUGAUCUAAGAUUAUUUAUUACGUCAAAUAUUUGACUUUCAUUUUGUCAAUUUAUGCAUAUAAAUGCAUUUAAAACGUGUAAGUUGUGCGUACCACGUCGUGAUUUAAAAAAUAUCUUCUACACACGCUCACGCGCGUUCAUGAAGGCUAGUAAUGUAUUAAAUUAGAAUAGAACUACCAUGAUAACUAUAAGUUUUAUACAAGCAUUUAAAGGGUUAAAUUGGAAUGCACCCCGCAGAAACUUCAAAGAAAUAAAGUUUAUCUAGAAAGAAAAUGAUGCGUAUACCAAACGGAGUAAAAAUAUGAUGACGGUGUUCAAAUAGUUAAUACACUAGAAAAUGUACCCGCGUGUUGCUACGGGAUUUGAAGCAUUGUUGAAGAUGUGGAAAGUGCUAAAACAUAUAUGCUAAGAAGUGGGGUUUAUAUACGUGUUACAUCCAUAUGUUAAUCAAGUGUUAUUUACAUUCGUAUAUUACAUUACAAAAAUUGGUGAUGCUCAAGAAAAACAAAUUGGGGAUGCUCAAGGACUUUUUCGUAACCUAUGGCUCUAUCUCGUCCUAAAUUGCAUAUGUUUACAACUAUAUAAAGUUAAAAAAAUCCAGUUUUAAUCCACUGAAGACAUCCAAAUCCAUAACUCCAUUAAUGGUAUCUCCCUCCUUUGUUUUGUACGACAACAUUGAACUAAAAAAUCAAAAAGGAGGAAAUUAAAAACAGAAUUUGAUCACUCAGUGAAUUGAAUCACCUUAAAUUGCAUAUAAAUUGAAUUUGAAUUAAAUUGAAUGAAAGUAUACAGACGAAGGGAAAGUUGUCAUAACUUUACCAUGCAAGAUUUUACCAUGCCCGAUUUCAUUUGCAUGUCCCAAAAUCAAUUUACGAAAUUAAGGUUGGGGUUUUCAUAUUCUCUAUUGGGUAAUGAAAGUCACGUGAAAAGUUCAGAAAUAACCAAACCAAAAUCCAAUUUAGUACACCUAAGAAAAACAUUAGCAAGAAACUAUUUCCAACUCAUCAUUUAUUUAUCAAACACAGUAAUACAGUCAUAGAAACACUCUUAACUCACUCACCAAAAUUGAAUUAAUUAAAUUGGAUGUUGGGGUCAAGUCAAAACGACGGUCGGAGGGGCCAGACAUUUUCAAAGGUGUUGAAGAGAAAAGAGGUCGGACAAAUCAAGAUCUUAGAAAUGCAAGAAGGGAGCUUCUACUGGUGGAGAUUCAAGUGUGCUUUGGAACUUAAUACUAGCCUCUAUAAAAAUCCGCACUCGAUGGAGCUUCAGAAAUCGAAGAGGCGCCUGCUCAGAAAUCGAAAAGGCGUUUGCUUUCUCAAAAGCUGGGCUGCUCAGAGACCACGAUGGCCGAUCUCAGGAAUCGAAGAGGCGUUUGCUUUCUCAAAAGCUGGGCUGCUCAAAGACCACGAAGGUCGAUUGCAGAAAUCGAAGAGGCGCUUGCUUUCUCAAAAGCUGGGCUGCUCAGAGACCACGAGGGCCGAUCUCAGAAAUCGAAGAGGCACCUGCUUUUUCAACCUUAUCAGCACCUGUCACAUGCACACUCAACUUUGCGGAAAUUACGGGCAUUCUGUCGAAGAUUUCUAGUGAAGUAGAAAGCACGUGAAUGUUACUGUUCAAUCAUUCACUUUCCACACGCAACAUCAGCUCACGGGUACCACAGAUAACUUUGCCAAAAAUCUCUGACAAAGUUUAGACACGUGAAGCUUGCAGCUCCCAUUACAUCGCUAUGACCAAGAAGGGUAAAAGAAUAGCAAAGAAGCAGCACUAACAAAGUUUAGACACAUAAAUUUUGAAGGUCUAGCUAUCAUAUUACCCACAAAGGUAAAGGAACAGGACCAUUGCUGGAUAAUUGGAAAGUCCCUGUGGGUCAACCUCUGUGCUCCGUGGCAAGGUAGACUAGCAAACAGGCCUAACCUUUACUCACAUUCGAGAAAACACUCCCAACAAGAUUGCUUGCUUCAAGAUCGAAGAGGCACCGUCCUCCGAAUCUCGAGAGCCAGACUCCCAACAUGAUUACUUUCUCAAAAAGCGACGAGACACCGCUCUCCGAAUCUCGAGAGCCAGACUCCUAGCAGGAUUGCUUUCUCAAAAAUCGAAGAGGCACCGUUCUCCGAAUCUCGAGAGACAGAUCCCCGACAGGAUUGCUUGUUCGAAAACCGAAGAGGCACCGCUUUCUCAACUUCGAGAGCCCCUUAGAUAAAGCUUGUUUGUAAUCCUCACACCGCUUUCUCAACUUCGAGAGCCAGAUCUCUUUGGAUAAAGCUUGUCUGUAAUCUUCACACGUAACAUCAGCUUUCCAGAUACCACACACCACUUUUUCAAAGUGCUCUGACAAAGUUAAAACACGUGAAGCUGGCAGCUCCCACUACCGUGCUAUGACCAAGCAGGGUAAAAGAAUAAUAUUACUCAUUGUUAGGGAGACUCCUAUAUAUGUCGACAUCCAUCCUCAACGGACAAGCAGACCUGCAAAAAUGCUCAACCCUUCCUCAUAUCUGAGAGGGCAUUCCCAACGAAGCCUUUCGAAAUACUCAGCUUUCUUUCCCCCCGAGAAUACCUCUGCAAACAAGCUACACUAGAGCAAGAAUAUCUCAUAUCAUCAGGGUUAAAAGCAAGAGUAUCCCAUAUCAUGCUUUUUCUCUGUCUUUUCCUUUGGCCUUGUUCUUACCUGCAAGACAAGGAGAAAGAGAGCAAUCAGUCAGCACUUGGAAUCAAGCUUCCAGUCCGGAACUAACUGCCUGGAACCCCAUUGCUCUCGAGUACUCAUCUUCAACAUCUUAUGCUUCCCGAGAAGAUACCACAUCUGCCUGAGGAACAAAUAGGGCAAGUGAGAAGGAUACAAGGAAGCAUGUGGAGACAAGCGCAACAGAACACGUGCCGAUACAUCCACUACUUUGUCAACAGCAAAAGUAUCCCAUAUCAGCAGGGUCGAACGUACUCUAGAUUUGAUGGACUUGUUUUGACUCUCAAAUUCUUCAGUCGGCCUUAUACUCUGGCGGAAACAAGAAAACCUUCCAGCCCAGUUCAAGAAUAAGCCUGUGGAAAGUUACUUCUUCAAAAGUAAAAGUAUCUCAUAUCACCUUUUCUCCUUUUCUUCUCUUUAUCCUUCAUGCUACCUGCAAGAUAAGGAGAAGGAUAACAAUCAGCCGGAACUCGAAAUCAAACUUCUGAUCAGGGACUGAUUGCUUGAAGCUCUGAUUGCUUACCUUGUCUGUCACCUCUUUCAGCAGAUCCCCUAGCUCGGCGACUUGGGGGUCUCCUACUACAUGGUUUGUAUGGCGCUUGACCAAGCCUGAAACUACAAGUAAGCAUCAAGUGAAAUUGAUACAUUACCUUGUGCAUCUCCACCAGUUAAAGAUACCACCCCUGGAGGGAGGAAGAGUACUUCCAAAGAAGAUGCCACAUCUACCUAUGAGACAGAUAAGGCAAGUGAAGACGAUACCACACUUCGGUACUUAAAAGUUUCGUGAUUACGAGAUCAUUCUUCCACAAUAUUUCCUAAUGUCAUUUGUACUAAAUCAUUCACUUGUACUCACUAAAGGAGAGCUUGAACCUAUAUACUGUGUAAACCCUUCACAAUUAAUGAGAACUCCUUUACUCCGUGGACGUAGCCAAUCUGGGUGAACCACGUACAUCUUAUGUUUGCUUCCUGUCUCUAUCCAUUUACAUACUUAUCCACACUAAUGACCGAAGCAAUCUAGCGAAGAUCACAAACUUAAUAUUUAAGAUGAUAUUCUUUGGUGUAUGCUUUUCACAAACGAUAUAGUGUUGAUAGAUGAAACGCAGGAAGGGGUAAACGCGAAGCUUAACCUUUGGAGAGAAGUGUUGAAAUCUAAAGGUCCUCGCCUAAGCCGAUCAAAGACAGAAUAUAUGGAGUGCAAGUUCAGUGCAAACGGAGGCCAAAAUGAGUUAGGGGUGAGGAUCGGAGAUCAGGAAAUACCAAAGAGCGACCGUUUUCGCUACCUAGGAUCUAUCUUGCAAAAGAACAGAAAAUUUGAUGGAGAUCUCACCCAUAAAAUACAAGCUGGAUGGAUGAAGUGGAAGAGUGCAUUCGGCGUGUUGUGUGACCGUCGUAGGCCACUGAAGCUCAAGGGAAAAUUUUAUAGGACGGCAAUAAGGCCGGCAAUGCUGUAUGGCAUAGAAUGUUGGGCGGUGAAGCAUCAACACAUAGGUGUAGUGGAGAUGAGGAUGCUUCGUUGGAUGUGUGGGCACACGAGAAAUGAUAAGAUUAGGAAUGAGGAUAUCCGAGGUAAAGUAGGAGUAGCCGAAAUUGAAGGAAAGAAGAGAGAAAAUCGGUUACGGUGGUUUGGACAUGUGCAAAGAAUGCCUACUGACGCUCCGGUUCGAAGAUGUGACCACGGGACAGAGGUUCAGGGCCGAAGGGGUAGAGGAAGACCUAGGAAAACUUUGGAAGAGACCCUAAGAAAAGACUUAGAGUACUUGGAUCUAACGGAGGACAUGACACAAAAUCGAGCGCAAUGGCGUUCUAGGAUUCAUAUAGCCGACCUCACUUAGUGGGAAAAUGCUUUGUUGUUGUUGUUGUUGUGGAUGUUGGGGUCAAAAUUUUAUGUCCGCCUAAGGAUAUUUGAGACUAAAAAUUUAACUCUACUCAGUUUAGCUUCCAAGUCAUUUUUAUUUUCGGUCUUCAGAUUUAGACUAAAUAUUUAACAUUACUUAGUGUAGUUUCAAAUUUAACUUUCCCUUGAGCGCUUGUCUACUGGAUUUAUCUUCUAUAGCCUUUUGUUUGCAAUUUGAAUUACAUGACUCAAAAUACAGCCCAAAUAGAACACAAAUGGCCCUUAGAAAACAAAAUGCGAAAUAUUUACUAAUCACUAUUCAUGGUUUUGGUCAAAGAACUCAAAUUUCAGAGAUACAAAACAGAGCAGCUCGUAUAAAUCAUUUAUAAAGGUUACCUCUUUUUGGUUGAAAAAUUGAAGGGUGACGCCAAUUCUUCUUCAGCUUCCACCUCCUUGUGGAACUUGACCCGCCAGUCACAUUUGCACGUGAACCUGAAAUCAACAACCAGUCAGUACCUUUGGCAAGCUCAUGGGGGUAUGACAACAUGUAUAGGAAUAUUAUUGCAACUCUAUUAAACGAAGAAGUAUUCAGUUGAGGAUGUCGAUGAGGGAGGGAAGAAGAAGAAAAGAAAUGCUAGUUGAGGAACAAAAGAAUUUUGAUGCUGCGUUCGGUUUGUAUGUAUGGUCUAAGAAUUUACAAACUGCCUAUAUGAUUCACUCGCUUCUGUGUCUUCAUCAAAUCUAUUUCUUUUUUACUACCUCUUCUUUCAUGAAGGUAUAAUCGUCACAUUAUUUUCUAACAUAAAAUAUACACCUAACAGACGUUUAAUACAUUGCCCAUAAGUUAACUGAGGUGGGUUUUGCUUGAGUAGUUGGUGACCUUCACAGUCGGCCAAUUGCGGCUGACAUGUGAUUGAUCGUAUAAGGAUAUCUAUUUAAAAUAGUUAAGGGACUUCAAGGAUGCCUCUAGAUUUAUUCUGGUUAGAAGAUCGGGUUGAGUAACAAGUUUUGACUCCAACGGAUAUUUUGCAUAGAAGACUUCAGAAAAUGUGAUUCGCAAAAUGAUGUCAGAUUUCAAAAUUUAAGGCAUGUUUUAAGUGCACUAAGAUAUCUCGAAACGUAUCCUGAUGUGAUACUAUAAUUUCAUGGAAGGAAGAAGAAAGAAUAGUCUAAAAUUUUCCUGUCCAAUAACUCCAUCACCAUCAUCUCCAAUCAGAGCAAUGAUAUCCUCAAUAGACAGAAUUGUUUUAUUUUGGGUACUUAUCUAAACACACAAAAAUUAAACAUUUUCUCAUCCAAUUCACAUAUAAAAUGGUCCAAAAGUGCAUGCAGUGGUUGAGUAGAAACUAAUGUUACUUUGAAUUGAUGAAGUGUUUAUCCUCUAGAAGAUCUACAUAUCUAUUAUAAACCAAUCUUUAGUCUUGCAGAAAGUGAUAUGCUGACUCCAAAUUCCCAUAAUAUUAAAAUUGAUUUACAGUACAAUCUGCAAAUGUAGUUAAAUUUAAUGCUUCCCAUCAUUGCCAUUGUUGCAAAUCAAAUCGUAUGUGCAGAUUUAUGGUACAACACAUGAUCGAAUUAGAUAGUUGUAUGAAUACAUGUUUGUUCUUUCCCUUUCAACUUGUUUGGAUCCUCACUUUUCUCAAACAAAAGAUUAGACUCUUAUGACUUCUUAGCAUAGGGCUUAGAAGGUUUAACCACUCGCAAAACCACUAAUAACAUCUCUCAAACCAUUCAUUGUGCAUAUUCAUGCCAUUUUAAUAUUGAACCUUAUAGGAAUCUAAGCUCAUCAAAGCGUAACUCCGACAAAAUAUACAUAGCAAAUCGACACUUAAUUUCGCAUGAUACUUUUUUUGAGGAAAAACAACGAAGAAAGCCAUUGGGUUACCAUCGUCAAGCGCUCUCAUUUGCCUUGAAAUGGGGGUACCAUAGACACAUAUCCAAACCAGACGCAACGACUCGUAUUCUCUGAAUGCAUUGGUUUAUCAAACACAAACACACAGCCCUAAGAUCAUGUAGUAAGAUUUGGAUUUUUCUUACGCAUGCAUACAGUACAAAUGUAAUAUAGUUAUUUGAAAAAAAUACUCCAGCUCAUCACUUGUAGCCAUGACGCCUUGUUAAAAUUAUUAAAAAACUGGAAUAACAGUAAAGAAAUUGGCAAAAAAUCAAACCUACUAGUCAUUGGUGACCUUCAUAUGAUAAGCAACCACCCAUACCGCAGCCUCUGACGCCUAUCCCAAAAAUAUGGACCUAUAAUAUUCAUUCCCACCGGCACCAAAACCACCAUAGUCGUCUCAUCCCUCCAAGCCGCAGAGCUAUUCUUGAAAACCCAUUACAACAUUUUCCUAGCCGCCCCCUUUACUGCAACAAACCUCAUCAAAAUGCCUAAUAACUGUUCCGGAUGGCACACACCAAAUUUUAUCAUGAGAAAAAAGCAACCCCAGACCCAAAUUAAGCAUUUCAUAAAUCCUAUUUACUGGAAAGAUCUUUUUUUUUUUUGAAGGGAGGUCACCAAUGCUAUCAUAGGGCAUGAGCAGAGAGCGGUUCCAAAACUGCAAACAAAAGCCCCCAAAAGAAAAAUCAAAAUCACCCACAUACCCAAUCGGAGGCUACAAAUUAAAAACAAAAACAAAACAAAAAGAAAAUUUGAACAGAAAAACCAUUUGUAAAUCCAAAGAAUUUCCAUGUCCAGUGCAUUCUUUCUAAUAAUUGACACAAAAGAAAUAAAUAUACAGCCCUAAACCCUAAAUCAGUGGAAGCAAACAGAGAAGGUCAGGUCCUCGAGAGAAAAAAAAAUGAAAACCGAAAGGAAAUUCGCUAUUUACAUUUAUACCAAAAUUAUGAACUUGAAUUUAAUCUUAUUUGAACACAUCCUUGAGCAAUCUUACCUCAAAGCACAUCACCCAGUUAAGUUCUAUAGCAUGUGUGGCCUGAUCAGCCAACUGCGCGUGCCCCACCGUCGAGAUUACCACGUCGACUUGCUCGAUCGCCUUCACCAAGCUCUCAUAAUCGUACAGAUCACCCUGUAAAUUAUAAAUAAUAAAAAAAACCACUCAAAUCAAGCAAAACCCAAUUGGCUAAUCGGAUCAAAAAGCUACAAAAUGCUGGAAAUUUUACAAACCAGGACAAAAUUGAAGCCCAGAUCCUUGAGGUUCUCGAGGAAUUUGGACUUUGCCGGGUUAUAGAGGGUAGUUCUCGGACCAGAAAGUAGGUGGGGUGGCCGGCCUUGGCGCUGGCCUAUGCGAUGAACUUUUCAGUGCCGCCAAUGAAGAGGAAUUUGGACUUGGAUGCCAUCGGGAAUGGGAUUGGGGGGAAUCAGAAUGGGAUGAGUUGGAGAGAGAUAGCGAGUGAUUCGAUUCGAAGUGGAGGAUGAAGGAAGAGGUGGAGGGUCAGUGAGGAGGAGCUUGAGCUCCAUUUGCAGUCGGAGGCUGAGAGAGCAAUGAAAAACGUAGUAGCAAUCCCAGAGGAGAUCGAAAUGAAAGCACACCUGGAGAGUUCGAGAGACAUCCACCGUCAACACGUGGAUAACAGCGGCAUACAUGAAAUAACAGAAGAUGAAAAAGGGCAAAAACGGAAGAACAUUGUAAAAGUAACAGUGUUUUGAGUCCAUAAGGACAUCAUGGGAAUUUACCUGAAAGUUUCUCUUUUAGUACGAGAGCUACAAGACUUACCAUAUUAUCUUAUUUUUCUCACCCACGUUAUAUUUUCAUCUAUCUUAAAAAGUUAAAAAAUUAAUGUUAUUUUCUCGCUCACUAUUAUUCCCAAAAUAACCUUUAAUAUAUAUGUACAUAUGAAAUUAUAAAAUUGUCUCUUAAAAAAUAUAAGAAAUAAUAUGUAAAUGAAAAUUACUAAAGUCUGCAAAUUCAAAUAGAAACGACAGAGGUAUCCAAAUUCAAAAUAUUUCGACAACGACAAAUUUAAAAAUACGAUAGGCAAAUUCAAAUGACCUACACACAAAAUUAUUCUUCUACCUUUUCAAUGGAAACAUAAUCUUCGACCUCUUCUGUUUAAGCUUCAUUUUCUACAUAUUCAAUGAAAAAGUCAUCUUCUAAGUCUAUUGCUAUUUUUUUUUUUUUUACUUUCUCUGAAUGAAAUGAGAUGAAAAUAUGAGUUAAGGUUUAAGGUAGACAAAUUGUCUCCCAUACCCAACUUGUUUUUUUUUUUUUUUUUAAAUUAAGCAAAACAAGAUAAUUAAUGUCCUUAUUAAUCUUUUUGUAAAUGGACAAAUUUGUAAUUAAAAAAUUCAUUAAAAGGUGAGUGGAAAAAUAAGAUAUUGAGGUAAGAAUAACAUCACUCUUUAGUGUAUAUAUAUAAUAUAAUAUAAUUUUACUGUCAGAAUCAUUGAAAAGUGAAGGAACAAAAGUUCAACAUUUUCGAUCCUAAUACGUUUGACUGAGUAGUCCGGAAAGUUACAUUUAAAUCUUGCAUACAUGGAUAUAAUGAAUGUUUCAAUGGUAAUAUCUUAUAUAAUAAUCGUAUCACUAAGUGGGACGUAACAUUAUAUCUGGACCCAUAUUCAUGCCCUUUUCUAUAGCUUUUAUUUGACAAAUAAAAAAUAAAAAAAAAUAAAAAAUAAAAAAACCUUCUACGAAGACAUGGUCGUAAUGGCAGCUACGUACUGAUCAAUAUUAAAUAGCAAGAAAAACAAGAUUUUCGUUGUCAAGGUUCAUUUACCCUUGACCCUUUUAUAGUUGACUUGGAAUUCAUACAGUAUAGUUUAAAUUCUAGCUUCUCUUUUUUUUGUGCAGCAAUGGAUACCAAACCAAUCUUAUUGUUCGAGUUCUCCGUUAUUUUAUUAUGUGCAUUUUGGAAGUCUCACAUCUCCCUUGCAGCUGAACACUAUCAGCGAAAACCAAUCUCUCUCGGGCGAUCAAACCAUUGUCUUUGCAGGUGGGAUGUUUGAGCUAGGUUUCUUCACUAGUACAAAAAAUACUUUGCGCGACGUAGGACCGUCGUCGCGCAAAGUCAAAAAUACGUCGCCCAAAAAUUAGCCAAACGAACCUUCGUCGCGCAAAGUAUUUAGGGUUUAGGGUUUAGGGUUUGCGCGACGUAGGUAGGCACUGCGUCGCGCAAAGUAUCUUUGCGCGACGCAGGAUCUACGUCGCGCAAAGCUACUUUGCGCGACGUAAUGCCUACCUACGUCGCGCAAAGUUUUAUUUAUUUAAUUUUUUUUUUGUCAUUUAUAUUUAUUUUUUUAAUUUUUAAUAAAUAUCAUAAUUACAUUCUAAAAAAUAAUUAAUAAACCAAGAAAAAGUAAAUAAUUAUAGAAUAUAUGAAAAUGUAUGUUUGUCCGAACAAAAAAAUAAAAAACUACAAGUCUUCUAAGUUUAAUACAUCAUGCUACUCGGUAUCGUCGGGGCAAAAUGGCUGGGAAGUCGAAGGUGGAGCAACAUUAGGUGCUGGCAUCGUCGGGAUUUGGAGGCCGGACAUCGCUAAGGCCUGAACAAUCAUAUUCAUCCUCUCGUCCUGGGCCCUAAUAUGGUCGCCCUGGGCCGCAACCUGACCUCUUAGGGUUGUCACUUCCUCCUUCAAGGAAUUGACCUCUCCUGUGGACAAUCUGGAAGAAGAGGCACCCGUUUCACGAAGAGGAAGGAUCAAAUUAGUUAAACCGUGGCAGUAUGUGUAUUUUGUGAGCAAAAAUGUACACAAAGAGGAAGAUUCACUGCGGUCCUUUUUUGGAUUUGCUGCUCAUUACAUAUUUUGUCCGCCUAAAAGGGCUUUAACUUUGAACAAAUUUUGGAGAACUCAAGUCCAAACCAUUUACCUCAGCAGUAUGGUCCUUCACAAUGUGCCUACAGUUAUAGUUCCCAUCAUCAGAGCCUUGCCAUAUGCGAACUGUCUGCAACAUUAAAGGGGAAAAAUGAUGAUACAACAUCAAAAGAUGGAGUACACUAGGUUGAAUAUCUGAUUGGUUACACCCUUACAACCUAUGCAAUAACAUCUAAAUUGCAUGCAUGUAAAGUUCUUUAUUGACUCCAAUUUAUCCUCUUUUUUUCCUGAUCUCCUUUUUGUGUUUGGGUCAGGGAGGUUGAUCACCACCCCCAGUUGCAUAAAAAGUAACUUUAGAAUAUAAAUUUAAAUCCGUGUAGAUCCACAUAGAUGUACAUAAAAAGUCCCAAGGUUAAACUUGUAACUGUGAGGUAGGCAGAGUUUAGCGGUGGCCAAGUUAAUAAUGAAUGACAAACAAAGCUAAUGACAACUCCAGUAAAUAGAGAAGAUAAAAUAGUAAUGAAGAUUACAGCAUUUGUAUCAACCCCUCCAGUUGCAAUGAGAUUCUGCGAGAAUAAAGCCAAAAAGUAAUACUUGAUCAGCAAAAUGGAAACAUAACUGAGUUCAAUGACAUAAAAUACACAGGACAGACACACAAGGAUUUAUGACUUUGUCCUUAAUCCAUAAUCCCGUAUAUACCAUGAAGACAAAAGAUCAGUGUAAAGUGUGGAUUAAGGUAGGAAAAGCAUGCAAAAGAUCUAAAUUCUCAUCAAAUACCAUUACGCAAAAGAACACUAAAACAAGAGAGCUUCAAGGCUCAAUAAAUUCUAGAUUUGUUCCUACUAAAUUCGUUUUCUUCAUUUCAAGACAUUUGGUUUAGGAUCAUCCCUAAACCUAAAACUGUAGAUAUAUGAACAUUAAAGAUCAAAAUGCACUUCUAAUAGUACAAAGGCAGUAUUGAAGAGCAAAAUCAUGCAACAUCCAGUACGAACCUAAGAGUCUUUCACUGGAGUCAAAUACCCAUAUGGAAGUGAUGCUUAAACAAAAUGAUAUAAUAGCAGAGGUAAACACAAUCUCAUACCUUGUUAGACUGAAUAUCAAUCGAUAAAAUUCCUGGUUUGCUUGUUCUAUGAAGAGAAUGACUAGAUAUCUGAGUAUACCUCUCCAACGCAUCAACUGGAGCUAAUGUUGGGGAUAUCUGAACACCAAAGCAACAUACAGAUAAAAGCAAUAACUAUCAGAACUUAUCAAAUAAAUUCUGUGAAAACAGCUGAACUUCACUAGCAGCUUUUCUCAAGAAAAGAUUAUGUGAUAAACCCAAUUCCCUGCACAAAACCAAAUAAAACCCAAUUCACUAAAACCAAUUCCUAAUGAGCAGCAAACCCAAUUCCCUGCACAAACGCAUUAACAUUAACCAUAUUUAAUGAAAGAUAAUGUGAUACUACAGAUGAUACACAUUGGCUAGUAGGAAUAGGUUUGAAAAAUCGAAAACCCAAAAAAAUCGAACCGAAGCCAAAGAAAAACGGAAUACCAAACCCACCCUUUGGUUAUGGAAAUCUCAACUCGGUUCAAAAGUCAUAGGAUGUAGUUAACUAUGAUUUACGGCUACUAAGUCAGGUUCAUUAGUUUUGACCUUAAAUAUUUCUUAGAUUCAUACAACUUAUAACUCAAAUGAACGCAUGAAAUUUCAACCAAUCAUCUAUAAACAUACAUAACACCAGCCAUCAAUCAUCAAUCUACAAAUGCAAUUCAAAUUUUAGGAAAACCCUAAAUGGUGGCAACAGAACAAUCAUCAAUCUACAAAUUCUAAUUUAAAAACCCUAAAAUCCCUACACCAGAAAUUCACAUUAAUAACAAAACCUUAAAUCAAAAUUACCUAAAUUUUAGAUGGAUGACAGCGGGGGUGUUGUCGAAGAGGAGAGAAUCGACGGCGGGGGUGAUGGGGUGAUGGCUGGUGAGCACUACGAGGAGGAGGACGAUUCAGAGUUGGAGAGUCGAGGGAAGGGAGUCGAGGGACUGAGAGUCUGAGAGUGAUUCUGGUACUCGGGUGGAAUUGGUUGAGGAGGAUAGUCGGCUGGAGUGAGAGAGAUGAGAGACCGAAAGGCUUUUGGUUUGGGAAGAGAGAUCGAGUGAGAGAGAUGAGAGAGUGGAAGGCUUUUGGUUUGGAAAAUUUGGGAUUUUUUUUUUAAAAAAAAGCGCCUAUUUUUCAUAAUUGCCCCGCCAAAAUAAUGACAAAUAGCUCGACGCAGGUAUACAUUUCGACGUCGCGCAAGAUUUUUUUUUUUUUUUUUCAAAUAUAAAUUUUACCGAAAAUUUACUUAAUAAAUAUAUAUACCUUUGAACUUGAUGGAAUACGCAUUGUACGAAACUAAUUUCAACAAUCCAACCGUCAAAAUUGUUUGUAUAUAUUCCGAUAUCGCAUACGCCAAAAAUUGGAAAAAAAAAACAUCCAAAUAUCAAGUAACAUGACAAAACCUUUUGACGGUUAUAAACGAAAAAUCACGAUUUAACGGUUAUUUUUAACUCCAAUUUGUUGAGUUUUUCCAACUAUACUCCUUUAGCCUAUAUGAAUACAACGAACCAAUUCGAUCGUCAAUUUAAAAUAUUUACACAAGCGGAUACCACAAAAUGUUAUGUUAAACUUAAUGAUAGUAUAAAUAAACUCCAAGUGUUAGGAAAUAUAUCGUUUUGAUGAAAUACGCAUUCUACGAAACUAAUUUCAACGAUCCAACCAUCAAAUUUGUUUGUAUAUAUUCCAAGAUCGUAUACGCCAAAACCUGGAAAAAAACAAACAUCCAGAUAUCAAGUAACGAGACAAAACCUUUCGACGGUUAUAAACGAAAAACACGAUUUAACGGUUAUUUUAACUCCGAUUUUGAUGAUUUUUUAGAGCUACACUCCUUGAGCCUAUAUGAAUACAACGAACCGAUUCGAUCCUCAAUUUAAAAUAUUUACACAAGCGGAUACCACAAAAUGUUAUGUGUAAACUUAAUGAUAGUAUAAAUAAACUCUAAGUGUUAGGGAAUCUAUCGUUUUAAUGAGAUACGCAUUGUACGAAACUAAUUUCAAUGAUCCAACCGUCAAACUUGUUUGUAUAUAUUCCGAUAUCGCAUACGCCAAAAAUUGAGAAAAACAAACAUUCAGAUAUUAAGUAACGGGACAAACCUUUUCGACGGUUAUAAACAAAAAAGCACGAUUUAACGGUAGUUUUAACUCCGAUUUUGAUGAUUUUUUAGAGCUACAUUCCUUGAGCCUAUAUGAAUACAACGAACCGAUUCGAUCCUCAAUUUAAAAUAUUUACACAAGCGGAUACCACAAAAUGUUAUGUUAAACUUAAUGAUAGUAUAAAUAAACUCCAAGUGUUAGGGAAUCUAUCGUUUUGAUGAAAUACGCAUUGUACGAAACUAAUUUCAACGAUCCAACCAUCAAACUUGUUUGUAUAUAUUCCGAGAUCGCAUACGCCAAAAAUUGAGAAAAAAAAACAUUCAGAUAUCAAGUAACGGGACAAACCUUUUCGACGGUUAUAAACAAAAAAGCAUGAUUUAACGGUAGUUUUAACUCCGAUUUUGAUGACUUUUUAGAGCUACACUCCUUGAGCCUAUAUGAAUACAACGAACCGAUUCGAUCCUCAAUUUAAAAUAUUUACACAAACGGAUACCACAAAAUGUUAUGUUAAACUUAAUGAUAGUAUAAAUAAACUCUAAGUGUUAGGGAAUCUAUCGUUUUAAUGGGAUACGCAUUGUACGAAACUAGUUUUAACGAUCCAACCGUCAAACUUAUUUGUACAUGCUUCGAGAUUGCGUCCGCCAAAAAUUGCAAAAAACAAACAUUCAGAGAUCAAGUAACGGGACAAAACUUUUCAACGGUUAUAAAUGAAAAAGCACAAUUUAACGGUAGUUUUAACUCUGAUUUUGAUGAUUUUUUAUAGCUACACUCCUUAAUCCUAUAUGAAUACAAUAAACUAAUUUGAUCAUCAAUUUAAAACAUUUACACAAGUGGAUACCACAAAAGAAAAAGGCAAUACAAGAACCCAAAAAAAAAAAAAAAAACUUUGCGCGACGUAGGUCCACCUGCGUCGCGCAAAGCUAUUAUGCGCGACGCAUGUGUACCUACGUCGCGCAAAGUUUUUUUUUUUUUUUUUUUUUUUUUUUUGCUUUUGCUUAUGAGUACAAAAUAAAUAAAUUAAAAUGUACUUACUAAAUAUAUAUACCAUUGAAUUUGAUGGGAAACGCAUUGUACGAAAUUAGUUUCAACGAGCCAAUGGUUCGGAUUUCGGGUUAAGAAAUCUGAAUGGAAUUUAGAUGGAGGAGAUCUCUGCAAUGUUACUGGUAUCAGAAUGUGUGUGUGUAUAUUGCAUUAUAAUAUAACGUUGAUGCAAGAAAUGGAAAAUUGAUACUUGAAGGGAGUUCUAAUGUAAGUCGUAUAUUAGAUUCUCAAAUCAAAGCAAAGCUGCUAAUCCAGGACUCCAUCCAACCUUUUGGGCAGAUUUGAAAGCAAGAGUUCCACCAAAAGUAAAAGUUUUGGCUUGGACUGGCUCACUGGAGGAUACAUGUGAUAUGAUCCAGGAAAUUGCCUUUUGUGUGUGUUUCACCUCACUGAUGCAUUUUGUGCAACAAAGAGGGCGAAAGGAGUGUGGAUCAUAUGUUUACAACUAUGUGGUGGAGAUUGUAUGGGGUUGACAAUGUAAAUUAGGUCGGAGUUCUGUUUCUUUGCUCCCUGAGAAACAAAGGUAAGGGUAAGAAAGAAAUGGUCUCCUGCAGUGCAUGGUGUUAGUAGUAAUUCAGAUGGAAGGCGGAUAUUUGAGCAAAGUGAAGGUGUGGAGUUGAGGAACUUUGGGAGAAAAUCAAAUUUUGGUUGUUACUUCGGGGCUUUGGUUGCUGGAGAGUUCAAAAAGUUGUCCCUUUUCUAGCAAUUAUUUGGACUGGGGAGAUCUUGUUGAUGAUUAGAAUUACGAAAUUCCUUUGUUGUUAUUCAUAGAUCCAAAAUAAAAACUAGUUGUGUUAACUAAUGUGGGAAUUGGGGAGAGCAAGACAUACAAAAUAAUAACAUUGUUUCUAACGAUUACAGAUUUAGGCAUUAUGGCUAUUCCUAGUAAUUCAAACUUCAAACCUGAUCUGGUAGACGAUUUUGAAGAGAGAGAUGGGCGAUGGAGGUAGUUGCUGCAACUGGGUAUGCAGUUUCUGCCUCCCAAACUGAUCAAAUGAAAAGAAAAAAAAGUUUGUGACUUUGCGCGACGCAUGUCCACCUACGUCGCGCAAAACAACUUUGCGCGACGUAGGUGGGCAUGCGUCGCGCAAAGGUGGGAAAAAGCGGUAAAUUCUAAGGGUUUGGCGCCAAAAGUUUGCGCGACGACGGACUACGUCGCGCAAAGCCGUUUUGCACGACGUAGGUGUACGUACGUCGCGCAAAGCCGUUUUGGGCGACGUAGUUCUUCGUCGCGCAAAGUAACGUCGCGCAAAGCUGUUUUGCACGACGUAGGGGUACGUACGUCGCGCAAAACGUCUUUGCGCGACGUAAUUUAAUGCGUCGCGCAAGUUUUCGUCGCGCAAACAUGUUUUUGUACUAGUGCUUCAAACCAGGUCAGCUUUCAAACUACUAUAUAGGUAUAUGGUACUCCAAGCAAGUAGCAUCUGAGAGCAAGUGGUAUCUGAGAGGACUGUUGUUUGGGUAGCAAAUAGGGAAAUACCAGUGAUAGGGAUUUUACCACGCACGUAACAGUUUUAAAAACUCAUAUAAUACUUGCAAAAAUGACAAAGAUAUUGUAGUAUAAAUAGUUUCCACAUGGAUUAUUAAAUAAUUCGAAACAAACCAAAUUUCAAUUCAUUAUUGUAAAACAAAAAUUGUGAUGAUUGAUUUUCAUGACCUAAUGUAAUAAAACGAAUUUAAUUAAUAAAAGUAAAUCAAUCUGCAAUAUUAAAAAUUGAAUUUUAACGAAAAGCUUAUUGUACAGUUCACUUUAACGAAAAAUCACAUUUUUACACUAAAAAGUCAAUCCUAAUACUAUUCACUUCACCAUUUAUUUUGUUAUUAUCGUUAAAACUCAAAGUUUUCAAGCUCUUUUUAUUAGUUUUCCUUAUUAAAAAUGAGAAAAAAUGAAAUAGUUUUGUAGAAAUCAAAUUAAGAAAGCAUUAAGGAUCCGCCAUCACAUCUAAACAUGCAUGACUCAUUAAGUUUUGUGAAACUUUUUAAAAAAAUCAUACAACCCUUAACACGUAGUAUUCAUCCUAAAUGCACCUGCACAUAUUAAUCACAAGAAAUUUUCGUCAAAAACUCAAGAUAAAAAAACAAUACAAACCGUGGGCCUCAAAAACUCAAAAUAAAAAACAAUCAUUUACUUUUUGUUUUCUUUCUUUUUCUAUUUCUUUUCUCUUUUUUUUUCCUGUUUUUUUCAUUCUUCCUCAUGGGGCUUUCAAAACACGCGCAAGUGCAAAUGGGAAGGGUUCAAAUUGAUUUCAGUAAGAUUGGUUUGUAGCAAUGAUUUUAAGAGAGGUGUUCCCGUCGAUUUAGCAGUAGAAGCAGCUAAUCGACAACUGGGUUGGUGUCGGUAUUGCAGCAACAAUGAUUCGAUGUCGGUUCGUGAGCUACAAGGCACGCGAGCUUCGAUUUGGGUGCGAUGCAGCAGUGGAUCAUGAUAGAUACGGAUCGGUGCGGUGGACUCGGGUCAGCAACGACGGCGUCGCUCGCUGGUCGGACGGCGUAGCACAACUGGUGCGCGACUAGGAGUUUUGUUCUGCGCAUAGGGAACGGCUUUUGGUUUUUUUCUUAACCUAGGCUCUGGUGCCAAGAAGAGAAUGCUUUGAAUGAUGUGUUUAUCUUCUCAGGAAAAGGUAGAAUAUACAAUCUUAAUUCUAACUAAAUAGGGAAGAAUAAUUACAGAAGAUUACAAAGAUAUUUCUCUCAUAUUACUCAUAUUACACGGGGAUCCAUCUUAAAGAGGAAAUUCUAAAUUAUAGGAAUUAUAAGUCAACAAACAAACCAACGUAAGAGUGUGGAUCAACCGACGAAUGCACCAUUCUAACAACGUUAAUAUCAUCAAUUUGAGUCUAAUUACCAUCAAUGUAAGAGUCAGUUUGAUUACAAUUAGCAUCAGUAAGGACAUCAGUUUAAUCUCGAACAAAGCUCCACUGCCAGUUUCGGCAUUAUUGAUCUCCACAACCUUGAAACCCAUGAUUGUGCUGAUUCUUUAUCGGGACGAGCCCAAAAACACAAACAGAAAAAGAAAAAGAAAAAAGAAAAUCAGUUAAACUUGUUUUUGAGAGAGACAACAUGAGUAUGGUAUAUAUACGGAGGACGUACAUAAAAAAUGCGUCCGUUUUCGACGAAUUCAGACAUCGGAAAGCGUCCUCCCUCUGACGCCGCCGUCGCCGUCAAGUGUUGCAGUUUAGCCUCGCUUUACUCCACGGCUUAUCUGUGUCAAAUCGACCGCUACAUCUCCCACAAAAACCCUAAAUCUUUUCAUCAAUUUUCAGUAGCGUACGAUCCGAUGCGCCUCGACACACCUUAAGCCUGUUUUUGAACAAUCUCCGAAAACAGAGCUAGUCAUGGAGGCGCAGAUCCUACUGCGGUGUCAAACGUGGGGGUUUUUCUCUUCUCAUAGUUUUGCCACUAAAAACGUCCACUAAAUUUUCAGAAUUUGGAUUUUUUUUUUUUUUAUGUAUUUUGAUAUUGUUUUGUGAAUUUUUGGCAAUGAAUACAAAUUAUCCGCGCUUCUGAGAGCAAUCGAUGAAGUAGAAUGUGAUAAUCAAUGGUUGAAUUUCUUGAUAUGAGCCAUUUAAGUUUUUGAUUUGCUGAUUUGGGUCGGUGACAUUUUUGGGUUUUGUUGAUUAAUGUUGGCGGUGAUGACUAAAUUUUACAGCUUUAUGCCAGUUCUGCUUCAGAAAAUUCGUGAUUGAGAGAGCUGUUUCAUACUCUGAGCCUUCUGUUUAUUAAUUUGAUUUUGUUUUUCUUUAGUGUUAUGGAUUUCUGUGUUUUUGGUGGUGCCGAUGACGAUUCAAUCCGCUUGUUCGAGGUGCAGUGGAAUUGAGACCCUGUUUACAGGGAGAACCCCUCAGUGAAACUGCGUUCAUAUGAAUUCAAUGGAUUUAGCUGAGGUUUUAAUCUUACUUACCCUCCUAGUAAAAUGUUUUUGUGUUACUUGUUUGGUUUGUUGUCUGUCUAAGAUUAGAUUUGUUGUUUGGUAUGUUAUUAAUUGCUUGUGAUUGGUGUGUUAAAUUUUGGUGAUAUCUUCUUGUCCUUUGGCCUGUGAUGAUUCAAUCCGCUUUUUUGAGGUGUAGUGGAGCUGAGACCUUGUUUACAAGGAGAACCCCUCGGCGAAGCUACAUUGCAUAUGACAUUAAUGGAUUUAACUGAGGUUUUAAGUCUUCAUCAGCAUCAAAAUCCAUUGUUUUUGUCCUAAUUGCUUGUGUUGUUGAAUAUGGUUUAUUAUUUUGUUCGGAUUAAGUAAUGUUUAGGCGUCAAUGAUGUUACAAUCCAACGUGUUUGAGGCGUAGCGGAAGCGAGAACUUGCAUUUGUGCAGGUAGAACCUACUCAUGGAAACUACGAUCCCUUGACAGAAACAAUGUAGCUGAGGCAUUGCAGUCAUGUGGUUUUGUUGUGUAUUGUGUUUAAAUGUUGGUUUUGAGUUUCAACUAUACCCUUAUGGGUCUGAAAUAACUCAUAAAUUAGAGUGUUGUCAUCAGCUUCAUCCUGUGUUACUGGUCAAGACUGGAGUUAAACAACAACACUACAUCUAAUUGCACUAAUUUUGUUUCAUUUAUUUUGUGAUUUGUGUUAAAUUUUAUCUAAUUUUUUGUUGGAAUCGACUCUUGUGAUGAAUUGAUAUGUAUGCUCAAUAGCUGCUGCUGGAUACUUCUAUUAACUGAAUUGGGGUUAAGUAAUUAAUAUAGUGAUAAUAAUUUCUAAAACCUACAGGCCUCACCCUGUCUCCAUGGGGGAGUACCCUAAAAAAAGGAACCCUUCCUCUCCCAGCCGUUUUCAGGGUCGUCCGUGAAUUCUUUGUCAAUGGUUUUGGUUUUUGAAUUGCCCGCUAAAUGGACUCCUUCCUAUCUGUUGUUCCCAGCUGAUCUUUUUGUUGUUGGAGGAUUUAGAUUUUGUAGUGAGUAAUUAGUUUGCAGGAGUACCAAGUGGUACAAACAAGCAUGGAAACAAGAGGAUGAUUGGUGGAGAAAAUGGCGCGUGGAAAUCAUGACCUUGGAUUCGUCAUGUGUGGAUGGGUUUAUGUUGUACCGUCUUUUGAUUGGAAUUCAGACCAAAAAACAGACGUGUGGUAAAUUGGAAUUUGAAAAUUAUCAACGUAUCUCUGUUUUUGUAUCAAUUUUUGUUGGUAAAACUUGUAUGGAUUGGAAAAGAUUAUGAUAAUUUGUAUCGAGCAUGAGUGCUUAGUUUGGUACAUUAGCCUGCAGUCGACGCAAUCUAACUUGAACAUGUCCUUAUUGUAACACAUACCUCCAUCUCUUCUCGGGUUUUGGAUAUGUGAUGCCUCCAGGGUUUGCACAUUGUAUACAGUGGAGUAUUGAUGAAUUUGAACAGAAGCGUAAUACUAGGAGAAGCUUUUGACAGAGGAAGGACAAUGUACAAGCUAGGAACUGCGUGUGAUGGGUUGAACAGUUGACUUAAUGCAUAGAAUUUUCUACAAAGUACAAAGUCUAAUGUGCCGGCUAGGAACUGUCUGAUGGGUUGAAUAGUUGACUUAAGGGCAUAUAGGUUAAGUUCCAGUAACAUCCAUACGGUAAAUCAUUGCCUGCCUGCUGAAUUCUUUGUACAGCCAUGGAUACCAAACCAAACUCAAAGUUCGUGUUCUCCGUUAUUUUAGUGUGUGUAUUUCUCGAGUCCCAUGUUUCCCUAGCAGCUGACACUAUCAGUGAAAACCAAUCUCUCUCCGGCGAUCAAACCAUUGCUUCUGCUGGUGGGAUGUUUGAGCUAGGUUUCUUCAAACCAGGUCAGCUUUCAAACUACUAUAUAGGCAUAUGGUACUCCAAGCAAGUAGUAUCUAAGAUGACUGUUGUUUGGGUAGCAAAUAGGGAAAUACCAGUUUCUGAUAUAUUUUCUUCGGCAUUGAGCAUCUUAGAUGGUAACUUAGUUCUGUUUGACGAGUCCAAAACCCCGGUUUGGUCAACAAAUUUAAACUCCACCACCAAUUCUGGUUCUGUACAAGCAGUUCUUUUGGACAGCGGAAACCUUGUCCUGAAAGCGGGCUCUAGUAAUAAUACACUAGAGCCUUUAUGGCAAAGCUUUGAUCAUCCAACUGAUACUUUGCUACCAGGAGGUAAAUUUGGAUUCAACAAAAUUACAAAUCAUUCCCAAAUUCUGACUUCAUGGAAGAAUUUGGAGGAUCCUGCACCAGGUCUUUACUCUCUUCACCUAGCCCCAGAUGAAGGCGAUUCAUGUAUCUAUUUGUGGAAUAGGUCUAGACAGUAUUGGACCAGCGGACCAUGGAAUGAAAGUUUGCGUAAUUUCAACAUGGUUCCUGAAUUGAGGCUAUUUAAUGACUUCAAUUAUAGUUCUGUUAGGAAUGAGAACGAAAGUUAUCUCACAUAUUCUAUUAACAAUCCUAAAAUUGUAACUCGAAGCUUGAUGACUGCCUCGGGACAGGUUCAGCAACUAACAUGGUUGGAGGCUUCCAAGCAGUGGAAUGUGUUUUGGUCUCAACCAAGACAGUGUGAUGUUUAUGCUUUUUGUGGGGCUUUCUCCAGUUGCAAACCUACAUCCUUGAACUACUGCAAAUGUUUGAAGGGCUUUGAGCCAAACCGGCAGAGUGAUUGGGACUUGCAGAUUUAUUCUGGUGGAUGUUCAAGAAGAACCAGUGUGAAGUGUGGGAAUGCUACGGGAGACGGGUUUCUAGAAAAAAAUAGCAAGUCCUUGCUUGAAAAUAGCCAAAAUGAACGCGCUCUUAGUUUUGAAAGUUGUAGAUCAGCUUGCUUAAAUGAAUGCCAGUGCACUGCUUAUGUUUAUGACAGCAGCAAUGGAUGUUCAAUAUGGCAUGGAGAUGUCUUGAAUCUGCAAGAAUUUGAAGCAAAUGAUGGUGAUGGAAGAAUUUUAUACAUCAGAGCUGCAGCUUCCGACAUUGAGAAAAAACGUAAUAAGAGAAUGAUUAUUCAUGUCUUACUUGGAGCCGUUAAUCUUAAUGUUAUCCUGAUGAUCGUUUUCUUCUCUUUGCAGGUGUAAUUAAGUUGUCCCCUUUGAUUGCAAUAGUCUCAACAAUCACAGGUUUGCUUGUUGUCAUUUUUGGCUAUUUCUUAUGGAAGAAAACAUUGGGAACAAAAAGUAAAGUUGCGGCUGGAGGUGAAAUGAAUGAUGCAGAACUGCCGAUCUUUGGUUUAAGGGCUAUAAUAGCAGCUACAAACAACUUCGCUGAAGCUAAUAAACUCGGAGAGGGAGGAUUUGGCCCUGUCUACAAGGUGACACUUCCACUGUGUAUUCUAAAUACUAAUACAUUUGUCUCCUCAUGCACACACCUUGUUUAUUUAUGACAUUUGGAUUGAAUAAUUCCAAGGAGAUGAAUCACGGGACAAAGUACACAUGGGUGUGCAGAAGGAGAAAAAAGGGUGUCUGAAAAUAAUUUCUCCUUUCAUAAACAUGACCGUUCUUUUGUACUUCUCUAACAAUAUUUUCUCUUGAGCGAUUUUCUUCCUCUAUACAGGGAAUUUUGGCUGAAAAUCAAGAAGUAGCCAUAAAAAGGUUAUCAAAAAAGUCAGGCCAAGGACACCAGGAGUUCAUGAAUGAGUUAAAACUUAUUGCCAAGCUCCAGCAUACCAAUCUCGUUAGGCUCCUGGGUUGCUGUAUUGAAGACGAGGAAAUGAUAUUGAUCUACGAGUACAUGCCCAAUCGGAGCUUGGACAAACUUUUGUUUGGUAUAUACAUGCUAAUGACUUAUUAAUUCUUUGUUUCUGCACAUUGUUUUCCUUGUGUGCAAAUGCCAUGUACUGCAAGUUCAAAUGCACUGUGUCCAAAUAUUUUAUCUAAAAUGAAAAGAAAAACACUUGCUCAUCUUUCUUCAUGGUUUGUCCAAUCAGAUGCACCUGAAAAAAGAGAAUUAGAUUGGGGAAGACGUUUUCGAAUUAUAGAAGGCAUUGCUCAAGGAGUACUUUAUAUCCACAAGUACUCGAGAUUGAAAAUCAUCCACAGGGACCUAAAAACAAGUAACAUAUUGUUGGAUGGAGUCUUGAACCCCAAAAUUUCAGACUUUGGAAUGGCAAGGAUUUUCGGGAUAAAUCAGACUGAAGCGAAUACCAAUAGGGUUGUUGGCACAUAGUAAGUCUGCAUAUAUCUGGUACAUGUUUUCAUUGAAGUAAUGUUCUAUUGCUUACUUCUCUACAUAUUGUCAAUUCAUGUGCAGCGGCUACAUGUCACCCGAGUAUGCGAGAUAUGGUCAUUUCUCUGAGAAAUUAGAUGUAUUCAGCUUCGGAGUGGUGUUGUUGGAGAUUGUCAGCGGAAAGAAGAAUGCUGCUUUUUAUCUCUUUGAACAUUCACCAACUCUUGCUGGAUGGGUAAGUGCUGAAAAACUAUUCCAACUCAUGAUCAUUCUGUUUUUAAGCCUUUCAAAUUCACAAAUGACCAUGCGUUCAACAUUUUAAUUAGGCAUGGGACUUGUGGAAAGACGGAAGAGGAAUGGAGGUGAUUGAUGAAUCGGUAAGGGAAACAUGUCGGCUCGAUGAAGCUUUGAAGUGUAUCCAUGUAGGGUUUUUGUGUGUUCAAGAAGCUCCAGCUGAUCGACCAACAAUGUCUUUAGUAAUUCGUAUGCUGCAGGGCAAUGAAUCUACAUCUCUUCCACCUUUCAAAGAACCUGCCUUUUCAACACACAGAAAUUCCAGUCCUGUUUGUUCUUCUCAAACACCUACCAUUUUUUCCCACAACACAGUCACCAUGAGUUUGCCAGAAGGUCGAUAGGCGUUGGAAGAGCGGUGACUGGCAAGCAGUUGAGAAAAUAGUAUAGUAUAUUAGAAUAAACACCCCGACAACUAGCUGUUUUAUACAACACUUAAAGGGUUCAAUAUGUAUUUUCUAAAAUGUAAAGUCUAAUAUGCCAGCUAAGGAACUGUAUGUGAUGGGUUGAAUAGUUGACUUAAGGGCUUAUAGGUUAAGUUCCAGUAACUUGCAUACGUUAAAUCUUUGCCUGCCUGCUGAAUUCUUUGUGCAGCCAUGAAUACCAAACCAAACUCAAAGUCCGUGUUCUCCGUUAUUUUAUUAUGUGCAUUUCUCGAGUCCCAUGUUUCCUUUGCAGCUGACACCAUUAGCGAAAACCAAUCUCUCUCUAGGCAAUCAAACCAUUGUUUCUGCAGGUGGGAUGUUUGAGCUAGGUUUCUUCAAACCAGGUCAGCUUUCAAACUACCAUAUAGGCAUAUGGUACUCCAAGCAAGUAGUAUCCGAGAUGACCGUUGUUUGGGUAGCAAAUAGGGAAAUACCUUGGUAUCUGAUAGAUUUUCUUCUGUGUUGACCAUCUUAGAUGGUAAUUUAGUUCUCCGGAACAUGUCCAAAAACCCGGUUUGGUCAACAGAUUUAAACUCCACCACCAGUUCUGGUUCUGUACAAGCAGUUCUUUUGGAUAGCGGAAACCUUGUCUUCAGAGCCGGCUCUAGUAAUAAUACGUCAGAGCCUUUAUGGCAAAGCUUUGAUCAUCCAACCCAUACUUGGCUACCAGGAGGUAGACUCGGAUUCAACAAAAUUACCGAUCAUGCCCAAAUUCUCACUUCAUGGAAGAAUUUGGAGGAUCCUGCGCCAGGUCUUUACUCUCUUAAGCUAUCUCUGGAUGAAAGCAAUUCAUAUAUCUUACUGUGGAAUAGGUCUAAACAGUAUUGGACCAGCGGAUCAUGGGAUGAAAGUUCACAUAUUUUCAACGCUGAUUCCUGAAAUGAGGCUAAAUUAUAUCUUCAAUUAUAGUUAUGUUACGAAUGAGAACGAAAGUUAUUUCACAUAUUCUCCUAAGAAUCCUAAAAUUGUAUCUCGAUACUUGCUGUCUGCCUCGGGACAGAUUCAGCUAACUAACAUGGAUUGGAGAAUUUCCAAGCAGUGGGAAUUUGUUUUGGUCUCAACCAAGACAGUGUGAUGUUUAUGCUUUUUGUGGGGCUUUCUCCAGUUGCAAACCCACAUCCUUGAACUACUGCAAAUGUUUGAAGGGCUUUGAGCCAAACCAGCAGAGUGAUUGGGACUUGCAGAUUUAUUCUGGUGGAUGUUCAAGAAGAACCAGUGUGAAGUGUGGGAAUGCCACUCGGGAGACGGGUUUCUAGAAGUAAAUAGCGGGUCAUUCCCUGAUAAUAGACAAUAUGAAGGUUUUCUAAGUAUCGAAAGUUGUAGAUCAGCCUGCUUAAAUGAAUGCCAGUGCACUGCUUAUGGCUAUGACAAUGGAUGUUCAAUCUGGCAUGGAGAUGUCUUGAAUCUGCAUGAAGUUGAAGCAAAUGAAGGUGAUGGAAGAACUCUAUACAUCAGAGCCGCAGCUUCUGACAUCAAGGAAAAACGUAAUAAUAGUAAUAAUAGAAUGAUUAUUCGUGUCGCAAUUAGUGAUCAUUAUUUUGGCGCCAUUAUCUUUAUGUUGUCAACAAAAUCUUCUUCUUCUCUUUGCAGGUGUAAUUAAGCCGUCCCCUUUGAUUGCAAUAGUCUCAACAAUCACUGGUUUAAUUGUUGUCAUUUUUGGCUAUUUCUUAUGGAAGAAAACUACGGGAAAGAAAAGGUACUGCUACCACCGAUCUCAUCUCUCUCUCUGUCUUUUUCUUUCAAACGUGUUCUAACACUAUGACUAAAACAGAGAGCAUAAGAAGAACCAUAAUGAGAGUAAAAGUAAAUUUGAUGUUGGAGGUGGAAAGGAUGAUGCAGAACUACCGAUCUUCGGUUUACGGGCUAUAGUAGCUGCUACAAACAACUUUGCUGAAGCUAAUAAACUCGGGGAGGGAGGAUUUGGCCCUGUUUACAAGGUGACACUUCCACCAUGUGCUUUAAAUACAAGUACAUUUUUCUUCUCCUGAACACCUUUGUUUAUUUCUGACCUAAACAAAUAUCCAAGGAGAAUUAAGGGACAAAAAUAAAUAGGAGUGUGCAGGAAAAAAAAAAGCUGUGCAAAAAUCAUUCCCCCUUUCGAAAAUAUGAUUUUUUUUACUUUGAACUUCAAAAAAUGUUUUCUCUUGUGCGCUUUUCUUCCUCUGUACAGGGAAUUCUGGCUGAAAAUCAAGAAGUAGCCAUUAAAAGGUUAUCAAAAAGGUCAGGCCAAGGACACGAGGAGUUCAUGAAUGAGUUAAAACUUAUUGCCAAGCUCCAACAUACCGGUCUCGUUAGGCUCUUGGGUUGCUGUCUUGAAGAUGAGGAAAUGAUAUUGAUCUACGAGUACAUGCCCAAUCGGAGCUUAGACAAACUUUUAUUUGGUAAAUACAAGCUUAUGACUUAUUAAUUCUUUGUUUCUGCAAAUUAUUUUCCUUGUGUGCAAAUGUCAUCUACUGCAAGAUGCACAUUAUGCACUGUGUCCAACAUUUUAUCUAAAAUGAAAAGAAAAACACUUGCUCAUCUUUCUUCGUGGUUUGUCCAAUCAGAUGCAUCUGAAAAAAUUGAACUAAAUUGGGGAAGACGUUUUCGAAUUAUAGAAGGCAUUGCUCAAGGAGUACUUUAUAUCCACAAGUACUCGAGAUUGAAAAUCAUCCACAGGGACCUAAAAGCAAGUAACAUAUUGUUGGAUGGAGACUUGAAUCCCAAAAUUUCAGACUUUGGAAUGGCAAGGAUUUUCGGGAUAAAUCAGAUUGAAGCAAAUACAAAUAGGGUUGUUGGCACAUAGUAAGUCUACAUAUAUCUGGCACAUGUUUUCAUUAUAGUAAUGUUCUAUUGCUUACUUCUCUACACACUGUCAAUUCAUUCUCAGCGGCUACAUGUCACCCGAGUAUGCGAGAUAUGGUCAUUUCUCAGAGAAAUUAGAUGUAUUCAGCUUUGGAGUGUUGUUGUUGGAGAUUGUAAGCGGAAAGAAGAAUACUGCUUUUUACUGCUUUGAACAUUCACCAACUCUUGCUGGAUGGGUAAGUACUGAAAAAUUAUUCUAAAACUCAUGAUCAUCCUGUCUUUAAGCCUUCCAAAUUCACAAAUGACCGUAAAUUCAACAUUUUAAUCAGGCAUGGGAGUUGUGGAAAGAAGAAAGAGGAAUGGAGGUGAUUGAUGAAUCAAUAAGGGAAACAUGCCAGCUGGAUGAAGCUUUUAGGUGUAUCCAUGUAGGGUUUUUAUGUGUUCAAGAAGCUCCAGCUGAUCGACCAACAAUGUCUUCGGUAAUUCGUAUGUUGCAGGGCAAUGAAUCUACAUCUCUUCCACCUUCCAAAGAACCUGCCUUUUCAACACACGGAAAUUCCAAUCUUGUUCGCUCUUCUGAAAUGCCUACCAUUUUUUCUCACAACUCAGUCACCAUGAGUUUGCCAGAAGGGCGAUAGGAGUUGAAAGAGUAGUGACUAGCAAGAGUUGAGAAAAUAGUAUAGUAUAUUAGAAUAAACACCGCGAACCAGAGCUAUUUGUGUGUUUUAUGGUUUUUUGCCUAUCCAAACUAAACUUACAAUAGCAGUAGAUUAAAUUUAUGUUAAGUAUUUUUCAGCUGCAAAUGCAGGCGUAACCGUACUUCAAUAUAUGGUCCGACCGCAUUCCUUGGCACAACCAUAUUUAUAUUAGUUUAAAAUGGAAUGUCACUUGUAUCAAAAGAAUAAAGAUGAGAUUUUUUUACACCUUCUAACUUUCAGAAGACAAAAACUAAAAAACAAGGGUAUGGAACAAAGGAUUUUACAUUACUAUAUCCAUAAUUGAUAUCAUGGAUUUUCCUAGGGUUGGAAUGGAAAAGUUGACAAUCAUCAUAUAGAAUCUACCGAAUGGCAAGUUGAUCAAUUUUUUAUCGAUGAGGAUUUGAACUUGAUGCCUCCUUUAUUAUUAGAAAAUAUCACUAAACACUUUAUGCUCCCGAUCAUGUUAAACUUUUAAGUUUUUUUUACAAGAGGAUUGGGCUGGUGAUGAUGGGCUUUCCGCCAGAAGAGGGGUUGCUGGCCUGCAAGAAUAAUUGGAUUCGAAUCCUCACAUUCCCCCCUGUCGAGCUGGAACACCGUUUGGUACGUGAGACGGGACGGGACGGAACGGGACGAGCCGUUCCGUCCCACGUUUGGUGCGUCUAAAAACUGUGGAACGGGUUGUCCCAUGGAAUGAAAUUUGGCUGAUUUUUUGUUCCACCUCUUCCCCCUGGAACGACCCGUUCCACAUCUGUGGAACACAAAUUUAUAAACAUUUUAUGACAAAAUUUCUUCUUAUCUUUUUCAAUAUUUACAUCAUUCGUUCCAUCCUGUUCCGUCUCGUCCCAUCCCGUCCUAUUCCGUUCCGUCCCAUCCCGUUUGCGUACCAAACGGUACCUCAAUGCACCAUGCAGAUCAAGUCAAUAAUCUCUUAUAUAUCUCUUAUAUAUAAAGCCAGCAUGCCAAUUUGGUGUAAUUGGCUUCGACAAAAAUAUUUGGACCAUAAUGCCUCUAGGCCAAAAACAAAUCAAAACAGCAAAAAUGAUUCCAUAAAAUAAUCCAAGGGUAAUUUUGUAAAUUUAGUUUUUAAUAAACUAAUGCCCUGCCUCUUCUACACUCUUCCAAACCGUUCUUUUCUCAGUUGCAUUCAUACCUCUUCGACCUAUUUUGGGAUUAGGUUUCUCUCAAACCCUAAUUUUUCUCUCCUUCUGAUCUCAUCUCUCUGCUCGCGCCGAUCAGUCGAACACCGUCCAGGAAUGCGUCUCCGAAUUCAUUAGCUUCGUCACCAGCGAGUAAUUUUCACCUCUCUCUCUAUCUCUCUUUCUGUCUCUACUGUUAUUGACUUUGCUUUUCAAUCGGAAUUUUUUGUGUUGAUUUUGAAUUGGGGUUUUUUGGGGUGUCUAGGGCCAGCGAUAAGUGCCAGAAGGAGAAGCGAAGGACCAUCAAAGGCGACGGUUUGUUGUGGGCGAUGGCCACGUUAGGGCUUGAGGACUAUAUCGAGCCCCUCAGGAUUUACUUAGCUAGGUACAUUGAGGUAUUAUUCUUUAACUUUUGCCUUUUAUUCCUCCUUUUCCUUUUACUUUCAAUUCAGUUUACAUUUUAGCAUUUUUCAAAUGGAAAUUUACAGUUUGGUUGUACCAUUUUCUGGGGUUUUUUUUUUUAACUUUCCGUUUUUAAUUUAUUCAAUGGUGUUUUCCUUAUCAGUUCAAUCUAACACUAUCGUCAAAUCUCUUUCUGAACGCUGCUACAGAUGCUUGAUUUCUUCAAGUCGGCAACGAUUGCAGAGGUAAGCUCUCUGAUGAAAUCAUCUACUUUACACUUUAUUUCUUUUUACAUAUGGCUAAAUUUUUUUUUCAUGGAUUUAUGUAUUUGUUUCCUGUGAAUUCGAAUUCAAAUUUGAUGAAUUUUUAUUUGCGUGUUUGUGUUGCUUCUGUUCUUUAGCUACAAGCAAAUUAUCUGCAUAUAAUUAGUAUUUAGGAUCUAAUUUUUUUGGCUUUUCAGGAGCAGCGGCAGGAGGUACCUUUUCUUUUUUCUAAUUUUUAUCCAAGAUAUGAAAAUAUUGUAUGAAUGUUAUGUACGAUUAUCACCAAAUGUAUAUAUCUUUCUUGGAAUUCUUGAGAAAAUCCAAGCUGAAUUCCAUUCUGAUUGAAAGAAAUUUAAUACCACAAAGCUUGGCUCCCGUUCUGAUUUGAAGAAAUUCUUUUCUUGGAUUAAACUACUAGAUUAAUUGUAUUUUGUGGGUUUAAUUAGGGAUGUUUUUAGGGUCUUUUUUUAAGAAUAUAUUGAAUCAGUUUAUUUAUUAUUUACAUUAUUCCAUUGUGAAUGUUUGAAGGUGAUCUGAAUUCACCUGUUGUGAUCACAGUUUGUGAUUUUGCACUCCCUGAUGGCAUGUCACUACUCGAAGCUAGAGAGACUUCUUCAGCCCUUGGUUAGUUAAAGCCUACAUUAGAGUGAAUAUCAUGGAUUCUCGUAUUUAGUAAUAACUUGAUUUAUGCAACCCUCAAGUUUAUUUAGCCAAUAUAAAUUGAACUUUUUCCUGCUUUAAUUUAGGGGCAGUUGCUAUUUCAUCCCACAGAUGGAGACGCUAUUGAUAUUGAGUAAUCUUCGAAGAAAGUCACCUCUUCAGAGAAGUAAUCUGGUAGCAUUUGUUAAGCAAUUUCCAAGGUACGGACUUCACCAAUCCCAGGUUUUAGUUUGUUUCUAAUUUAUUGAGUUUUUAGGGGCAUAUUCUGUAAUUAAAGGGGAAUCAGGGGUCCAAUUUGGUUUCGAAAUCUUGAAUCUGAUCAAAUGAAAGAAUCAAAAUUCAAUUCAAAGAUAAUAUGCCACCAAUCAUAGGACUCUGACUUCCAACUCUGCUGCUGCACUGAAGCAUCAUACUUUUCUUCAUACGUUGGAAACAUAUGCUUUUUUUGUUUGUUUUUUUUUUUACUGAUAUUAGUAGCUUUUUAGGUAGCCGACCCCACUUAGUGGGAAAAGGCUUUGUUGUUGUUGUUGUUAUUAGUAGCUUUUUAGGGUUUAACUAUUGGAUUUCACAGAUUCAUUAUAGACACAUUAAAUAGUUACAUUUUUAAUUCGUAUUUCAUAACUUGGUUGCUUGAUUCUAAUGUUGAUUCGUUACAACAGAAGUGAACUUAUUCUACUUUAAGCAUGGAAUUUUUUCUUUUGUUUUUAUUGUUGUUGCCUUGAUUGUGGUUAUCUGAUUGAUUAAUACUCCAUGAUAUAUUGAGCAAUAUCGUGCGGCUCAAGAAUUUCGUAUGUGUUUACGCGUAUUUUUGUACUCUGAAUAAUUCUAAUCAAAUUCCAUUGCUCCUAAGCUAAGGUCAGAAUUUGUAGCAUAUACUUACCAAUUAUCCAAAGCUGGAUAUUAAGGUCUUUAAGAUUAAUCUCUCUUUGUAUGUGUAGCAUCUGCUUGGAAAAGGUUUCAACUUUAUUUUUUAUUUGUUAGAUGAUCAAUUGAUGUAUUUUAUGAAAGUUGAUCUGCAAGAUGUAAAGAUGAUUUCUUUGUUUAUGUAUACUGUUUAAUUAUAUCAAUGGAAAUUGGUGCUGCUCAUCCCCACAAACAUUUUGUACAUGUGUGGCAUUAAUAUAUUUUGUUUUUUGAUUGAAUUUGUUUUCAUUCAAUGGGGUUAGUGAGCUAAACAGCAAGUCGCUUUUUAAUCGUGUUUAAAUUGAAGUCCUAAUUUCGUUGGUUUGUUCAUAAUUAGUGUGUUAUGUUGUUUUCCUGUGUGUUUUAUGUGUUUGUUAAUUUAUGGGAGUCUUCACAAGAAAUGUUAUGUACAAAAAUAUUUUGCUUCCAUCAAAAUGUGUGAUAAGGUUACAUUCAUUCUUUUAAUGUUUAAUUGACUUUUCAAAUCCACGUAGAUAAAUACAUUUAAAUUGUAUAAGUCGAGCAUAGAAUGCUGUAAUUAUAAAAGGGCCAUCCACACGCGCGUGAGCGUGUGCAGGGAGGCUAGUCUAUAUAUAAAGCCAGCAGCGGGAUGAACAGUAUUUGGUGUCAUUGUCUUUGACAAAAAUUCUACAUCAAAUAAUCCAGGGACAUUUUCGUCAUGUAAACAGUAUUUAAUUAUAAUUUGGGGUUAAUGUCUGUUAGGAUCAUUGGAAUACCCUCGAGGUCAAUUGGGUUACCCUCCUUUUCUUCUGCUUCAUUUCCUUUGCUCCGUUUGUAUCGGCCUCCUCUGCCUCUGUUUCUUCUGGUUCCGCUGCUGAUGCUGCUUCUUCUUCAUCUGCUGCAUGCAGAUAUUCUUCUCCUCCUUAAUUCAUCCACUCGAAAAACUUCAUUUCAUCAUAAACUUUUUCAUACGGCAACGAAAUCGCACAAGGUCGGAGCCUAUAGAUUCGUAUCCGAAUUUUCUUCCAUCUGAUAUGAUACCCACACCUCAAAAUCAACUGUGCUCAAAGAUGGAGACUAGAACCGUGACGGUUUUUUGGCGGAGUUUUGCUGAUUCCGCCCAAUCCCGCAUGAAUUUGGUCUCGGCCCAAGAGAGAAAGUUGAUCACUCUCCUGACGAUCUUUCUACCUAUACUUGAGUUUGUUGAGUGAAUUGAUUUUUUUUUUAAGUUUUUGGUUUGUGGGUUUUUAAUUUUUUUUUUUUUGUGCAGGUAAAGGAAGAACCCAGAAGAAAUAUGUUCACUAAGGGUGCGUUUGGUACGUGGGACGGGACGGGACGGAACGGGACGAGGUGUUCCGUCCCGCGUUUGGUGCGCCAAAAAUGGGUGGAACGGGCUGUUCCACGGGACAGAUUUUGGGUGUUUUUGCGUCCCACCUGCCCCCCUGGAACGAGUUUGUUCCACGUUUGUGGAACACAAUGUUUUACCAUUUUAAGACAAAUAUACCCCAUGUCUUUUUCAAAAAUUACACCUUCGUUCCGUCCCGUCCCGUUCCGUCCCGUCCCAUUCCGUCCCGUCUGCGUACCAAACGCACCCUAAAGGACUUAAUAGGAGCGCCCUUAAUUGGGUUAGAGAGGUUUGUGAAGAAAAUUCAUUACCCUCUUUCUUUUUUCGAAUUAAAAAAAAUAUAAAGUAGGGUUUAAUUUUUACUGUUGUUUGAUUAGUCCUCAGCAGUAUUCGUGGUAUUUUAGUUUUCUGGUGCAAGUCAAAUGGAUCAAGGUUUGUUCCCUUUCACUAAUUUCGUUUCAACUUCUGUUGAAUCUAGAUCAUCAGCUUAAUUUCAAGGAUUAAUUACUCAAAAUUUGAUGAAACCCUAAUUGCAGCUGUGCUAUAUUUCAUCGUUAAAUGUUUAUCCAAUCUCUGUGUGGUGCAUAUAUAUUUAAUUUUUUUAUUUUAUUUCUCUCUUCUCCUUUGUAAUUUUGGUAGGGUUUAGGGUUUAGAUUGUUUGGUUAAAGAUUGGAUCUUUUUACACUGCUUCUCUCUCUGUGUCGAUCGUCUGUCGUGUGAAGAGUUUCUUUUUCUGGCUGAUUGCACUGUUUCAGAUGGUUUCUCUGUUUUUUUUUUCUUUGAAUGGGAAGAAAAUUUGCAGAUCGAUGGCAAAGAAGUAUAGGCUAAAGUUGCCUGAUGUUCUUACCAACCGCAAGUCAGUAUCCCCUGAAAACGAUGCUCUGGCUUUUUUACAAAUUAAGCAUGUAUGCAAAUUGGGAGUGGUUGUCCUGCGAUACUGGUAGUUUGAAAGAGCACUGUUUAACCUUCCCAUCCAUCUCAAACCACACAUUCCUUGAGAGUCGACGGGUAAGAAAGCGAACUAUUUUGUAUUGUGACGAGUCUUAGAUUAGGGAAUUUACCUCAUUAUCCAUUAGAAAAUAUGUAGUCUGAAAUGGAAAAAGCAUAAGAUGGUUGCGGUACAACAUUUUUCACGUGGCAUUCUGUUUAAAGAUUCCAAAAGAACUGGAACCAAACAUAUUCGUUCGGAAAUCAAAGUCUCAUUUGUUAGUUGGUCAUUGCUCUCACAUCUUCGAUCUUCAUCUGUAAUUAAACUCAACCGCAUGUCCUAAUUAUUUGUGCAAUCCGUGUAUUCAUCACCUAGCUAUUUUCCAAUGCUUGGUUUGUGUUAUAUUUCUCUUACAAUGCUACAAUGCAUCAUAUUUCGUGUCCUAAUUAGUAUGCAUCUUUUAAAAAACCGAAUCCAUACCGUUUUGUACCAAAACAAAACCAAUUCUGAAAAGUUUGGUACAACUUCUGCACGCCCUUGCAUACUGAUCUGAACCCUACCAAAUUGUAAUUUGGUUCGGGGUUAGACAGAGUAAUGGUUGAUGAAGGAAGGAGAAUUACACGGUCACGAAAGAGUUUUCACAAGAAAUGUUGUGUACAAAGAUAUUUUGCUUCUAUCAAAUAUAUAAUAAGGUUACAUUGAUUUUAUUAAUGUAUAAUUCACUUUUCAAAUCUACAUAGAUAAAUACAUUUAAAUUGUAUAAGUUGUGCGUAAAACAAUGUCAUUAUAAAAGAGUCUUCUCCAUGUGCGUGAGCGCGUUCAAGGAGACUAGUAAAUCAAUUAAACUAACUGUUAGUGAAUAUAAAUAGACAGUGAAUAUCGCUUCGAUCUAGAAAAUUGAGGGACCUAGGAUAGUUUCACUUACAAGCUACAGCUGCAAAAUAAACCAACAUAGCAGUAUGGAUCAACAAACGAAUGCACCACUCUAACGGCGUCAAUAACAUAAAUUUGAGUCGGAUUGCCACCAAUGUAAUGUAAGAGUCAGUUUGGUUACAAUUAGCACCAGUAAGGACAUCAGUUUGAUGUCGAAUAAAGCUUCCUGCCAGUUUCGGCAUUAUUGUUCUCCACAACCCUGAAACCCAUGGUUGUGUUGAUUCUUUAUCGGGACUAGCUUUUGUGUUUUCAGCUAAAGCAGAAAGAAAAAGAAUCGAGACCAAAGGGGAAAUAAAAUGAAAACUGUUUGGCAUUCCUAAUAUGAUUGUUGAUUCUCUUACAAGUUUUCUCGAUUGGCUUUGGGCAACGUGUAAACUCAUAUUCCCUCUCUUUUCUUUUGUUCUUCAGUCAUCAAACAUUCAUAUCGAUUCACAAUAAGAAUGGUCCAACCACUAAUAACAAUUUAGUUUAGUGAUAUUUUGUCUUUGUAAUUCUAGAAGUCGAGUUCUUGUCUCAUGGGUUAAAUCGCUAAAUAAGAAUGUUGUCGAUAAGGUUGGUAACAUUGUUUCUUGUUACUUUUUUUCUACCUGAUUUGGUUUCCCUUAUAUUUUGGAUCCCUACAAUUGUGAAGUUACCCAUUUUGAUGCAAAAUGGGGGCAGGGUACUUAUGCUUUUUGUUUUGGAGAGAUAGUCUCAUCUUAUCCAACUCAUGUGUCAAUCUUUUAUUGAAUAUAAGAUUUAGUUUUUAAAAGCGUAAACAACGUUCAUUGGGUGAGUGACGUCACUAAAACUCUGCACACAAUGCAAAAGAGACCCUCUGGUUAGUUUGACAAGUAAUUCCUGUUCAGUCAAAAGAGAUAAAUAAUGUGGCUUAGUAAGCAUUGGAUAGAUCAUGCUUGUGAGAGUAGUAGGAGGUCUUGUUCGUUGCUCAUUGACCAUUACUUGCUUUAUUCCUUGAUUUUUAAAAAAUUAUUGCCUGGGACAUGAACAUCAGGUUAAUUAUUGCAUAUGUCAGUAUUGUGUUAACUUUGAUGAAAUUACAUCUAUAUGUGCGGUAGGAAUCAAAUUGAUCAACAUUAUACAUUAUACGAGGUAUGACGAUAAUUGAUAACGCCACGUAAUACUCUAGCUACAAAUAUUAAAACAUUUCCCUAAUAUCACGCCGUUCCUCACGUUUUGCAUCCACGCACAAGCAAAUGUGAAAGACGUCAUCGAUUGAUUUCAAACGUAAAUGAUGAAACUGAUGACCCAAGGAUAAACUGCAAAAUAAUUGGAUCGCAUCACACAUUGGCAAUACUAUAUAGUACGUCACGUGUCGGAAAAGUCAGUUGUUGGAAGCAGCCUACCAACAGGCUACAUGUAACCACGUUACUGUCUGAGGGAGAGGAGUGGGACCAACUCAGUUUCCUCAUCGAGCAAAAUAACUGAAGUUAACAAGUGUCACGCGUCCGUUAGAUAAUGACUUAUUUUAUUUUAUUUUUGUUAAUUAAUGAAAAAUACAGUUGCUCCGCAACUCACUCUCUUCUCUUGUUGAGUGAUUUGAGGACCAGUCUCUUCUCACUUGAUCAGCCUCUGAAUUCUGGUCAACCCCCAAAUGACGAUCUUGUCCUUCUUCACCAGAGCACAAGAGCUUUCAAUGGCUGCCCACCCUGUUGCCUCCAAGCUUCUGGUGCUCUGUACUAUCAGGUUCUCAGUUUUCUUGUUUACCAUGUUAUUUUCUUUUCGAUCUGUUUGGCUUCUGAGAAAAAUGCAUGACAAGAAAAUGAGUUGGGUUGAAAUAUUUUCUAUCAUAGCGUAUAAAGACACAUUCUUUUUUAGUUUUGGUUGUAUUUCAACGAAGCAUCAUUUUUUUCCUAGUUCAGGCAAAAUGUCAUAGCUCAUAAGCUCUGAAUCUAAAUUUUUCUUUGAAUCUCAGUUUUCUAAGCCAACAGACGCUAGACUUUGUUUGGUUACUGAGAAAAAUAGGCUGCAAAUGUUUGUUUUGGAGUCCUAGCUAUGCUGACUUUAUUUAAUUAGAGAAAAUAGACUCCAAAAUGUAUGCUCAGUAGCCUACAGGCCCCACCCCGUUUCCACUGAGAACCCUAGAAAUUUAUAUAGUGAAUAAUUUCUAAAAUCUACAGGCCCCAUCCCGUCUCCACCGAGUGCCCUAGAAAAUUGAACCUUUCCUCUCCCCAGCUGUUUUUGGCUUCGUAUGUGGAUUAUUUUUCCCUAUGAUUAUGGCUUUCGAAUUCAAUCAAAUUAGCUAUCUUCUGUUCCCAGCGCAUUUCGCGGCCGAGCUGGAAUUAAAGAAAUCGGCAGGCAAACGCAAAGCCCUGCUAAUCAAUUUGUUGUUGGAGGAUUUAGAUUGUGUACUGAUUAAUUUGUUUGCAGGAGGAUCAAUUGGUACAAACAAGGAUCGAAACAAGAGGAUGUUUGGUGGAGAAAAUGGCAUGCGAAAAUCAUUACCUUCGAUUAAUCAUGUCUUGAUGGGUUCAGAUUGUACAAAUUUUUUUAUUGGAAUUCAGGCCAAAAACGGACGUCUACUUGUCUAUGAAUGUUGUAAACUUUGUUGUAAUCGGAAUUUGAAAAUUUUAACAUAUUUUUGUUUUUGUGAUCAAUUUUUGUUAGUUAAACUUGUAUGGAUCGGAAAAGAUUAUGAUAAUUAUCAACAUUUAAGCUCAAAGCGUCACUAACACAUGAACCAAAAUUUGUAUUAGAGUAAUGCUAGAAAUACCAUAUUUCUAAACCAAAUUUUGUAACCAAAUGAUGUGAAUGUUGAUGAUUGGAUUUUUACUUGAAUGUUUUUAAUGUGCUUAUUUCCUAUUUGUUCCACAUUAUUUAAUUUAAACAAUUUGGUUUAGAAAUUUGGUCGUCCUAGCAUUACCAGUUGCAAUAAGCAUGAGUGCUUAGUACGGUACAUUAGCUUGAAGUUGAAGCAAUCUAACUCGAACAUGUUCUAAACCUAACUCAUACCUCCAUCUCUUCUCGGGUUUUGGAUAUGUGAUGCCUCCAGGGUUUACACAUUGUAGACUAUAGAGUAUUGAUGAAUUUGAACAGAACCGUAACCGUAGAGUAUUGAUGAAUUUGAAUAGAACCGCAAUACUAUCAGAAGCUUUGACAGAGGGAGGCCAAUGUUCAUGCCCUUUCCCAUGCAUUUAAGUUUCCAAAGACUUUGUUCAUUUUCCAGCUAAUGAACCGUAUGUGAAGGGUUGAAUAGUUGACUUAGUUGAUUUGCAAUGAUCAUCACAAAAAGGGCAUAUAGGUUAAGUUCCAGUAACAUGCAUACGGUAAAUCUUUGCCUGCCUGCUGAAUUCUUUGUGCAGCCAUGAAUACCAAACCAAACUCAAAGUUCGUGUUCUCCGUUAUUUUAUUAUGUGCAUUUCUCGAGUACCAUGUUUACCUAGCAGCUGCCACGAUCAGCGAAAACCAUUCUCUCUCGGGCAAUCAAACCAUUGUCUCCCCAGGUAGGAUUUUUGAGCUCGGUUUCUUCAAACCAGGUAAACUUUCAAACUUCUACAUAGGCAUGUGGUACACCGACCGAGUAGUAUCCGAGAGGACCAUUGUUUGGGUGGCAAACAGGGAAAACCCAGUUUCCGAUAUAUUUUCUUCAGUUCUAAUGAUUUCAGAUGGUAAUUUAGUCCUGCUUAACUAGUCCAAAGCGAUUGUUUGGUCAACGAAUUUAACCUCCUCCUCCUCCGCCACUGCAUGUCUUUUGGAUACCGGAAACCUGGUCUUGAGAGCCGAGUCUAGUAAUAGUUCAGAGCCGUUAUGGCAGAGCUUUGAUCAUCCAACGCAUACUUGGCUGCCAGGAGGUAGAAUUAGGUUUAACACUGUUACCAAACAAACCCAAAUUCUUACUUCAUGGAAGAGUUCGGAGGAUCCUGCACCAGGUCUUUUCUCGCUCGAGUUAGACCCGAACGGAAGCAGUGCGUUUUUCAUAAUGUGGAAUAGGUCUAGGCAGAAUUGGACUAGUGGAUCAUGGGAUGCAAAAUUAAGGGUUUUCCGCUUGGUAAGUACGGGGCUCAAUAAAAAAAUAUACAACCUCAGCUAUGUUACCAACGCAACCGAAGGUUAUUUCACCCAUUCUGUUUAUGAUCCUAGGAGAAUAUCUCGAUUCGUGUUGCUUACUUCGGGCCAGAUUCAACAGCUGACAUGGAUUGAGAAUUCCACGCAAUGGAAUUUGGUUUGGUCUCAACCGAGAAAGCAAUGUGAAGUUUAUGAUUUGUGUGGGGCCUUCGGAAGUUGCAAUGAGGAAGGUCCCCUCGCCUGUAAUUGCUUGAAAGGUUUUGAGCCGAAGGUGAUGAGAGAUUGGGAUUUAAAGGACUACUCUGGUGGGUGUUCGAGAAAAACCGAUCUGCAUUGUGGAAAUGCUACUACUGCGAGCAGAAAGCCAGACCGGUUUCUUGAACUUCCUAGCAUGUCAUUGCCUAAAAAUAAUUACACUAUGGAGGUUGGGAGUAUUGCGGAAUGUGAACCGUUCUGCCUUAGAAGCUGUUCUUGCACUGCUUUUGCUUAUGACAGCAGCGGAUGUUCGAUUUGGAACGGAGAACUCUUGGAUUUGCAACAACCAACAUCAAGUGACAAACAAGGAAGAACUUUAUACCUCAGACUUGCAGCUUCUGAGUUUGAGAGUUCUCAAAGUAACAAGGGAUUGAAUGUUGGUGUUGUGAUUGCAAUUGUCUCAAUAAUCACAGGUUUGCUGGUUGUCAUUUUUGGCUAUUACUUACGGAAGAAAACAUUGGAAAAGAAAAGAGAGCAUAGGAAAAGAAAUGGUGAAAAGAACGAUGCAGAACUGCCUAUCUUUGGUUUAAGGGCUAUAAUAGCUGCUACAAACAAUUUCGCCGAAGCUAAUAAACUCGGAGAGGGAGGAUUUGGCCCUGUCUACAAGGUGACACUUCCAUUGUGUACUCUAAAUACUAUUAUAUUUUUCUUCUCAUACACCCUUGUUUAUUUAUAAUUUUUGAAUCGAAUAAUUCCAAAAAGACGAAUCACGGGACAAAUUACACAUAGAUGUGAGAAGAAAAAAGGGUGUUCAAAAAUAAUUUUAUCCUUUAAAAAUUACGACCGUUCCUUUUUGCUUUUACAAACUUUUCUCUUGUGCACUUUUCUUCCUCUGUACAGGGAAUUUUGGGUGAAAAUCAAGAAGUAGCCAUAAAAAGGUUAUCAAAAAAGUCAGGCCAAGGACAACAGGAGUUCAUGAAUGAGUUAAAACUUAUUGCUAAGCUCCAACAUACCAAUCUCGUUAGGCUAUUGGGUUGCUGUCUUGAAGACGAGGAAAUGAUAUUGAUCUACGAGUACAUGCCCAAUCGGAGUUUGGACAAACUUUUGUUUGGUAUGUGUACUUAUAUAUAUGCAUGAUAAUGACGUAUUGAUUCUUUGUUUCUGCAAAUUGUUUUCCUUGUGUUUAAAUGCCGUGUACUGCAAGAUCAAAUGCACCGUGUCCAACUUUUGAUCUAAAAGGAAAUUAAAGAAAAACACUUGCUCAUCUUUCUUCAUGGUUUUUCCAAUCAUCAGAUGCAUCUGAAAAAGGAGAACUAGAUUGGGGAAGACGUUUUCAAAUUAUAGACGGCAUUGCUCAAGGAGUACUUUAUAUCCACAAGUACUCGAGAUUGAAAAUCAUCCACAGGGACCUAAAAGCAAGUAACAUACUGUUGGAUGGAACCUUGAACCCCAAAAUUUCAAACUUUGGAAUGGCAAGAAUUUUCG
rnacentral:lncRNA from 1 species